GGAGGGUUGUCCGAGAGGUCGAAGGAGAUGGUCUCGAAAAUCAUUAUACCCUUACGGGUAUCUAGGGUUCAAAUCCCUAACCCUCCGCCA
rnacentral:tRNA from 1 species